GUAAAAGUCGUAACAAGGUCUCCGUUGGUGAACCAGCGGAGGGAUCAUUACCGAGUUAUACAACUCCCAAACCCACUGUGAACCUUACCUCAGUUGCCUCGGCGGGAACGCCCCGGCCGCCUGCCCCCGCGCCGGCGCCGGACCCAGGCGCCCGCCGCAGGGACCCCAAACUCUCUUGCAUUACGCCCAGCGGGCGGAAUUUCUUCUCUGAGUUGCACAAGCAAAAACAAAUGAAUCAAAACUUUCAACAACGGAUCUCUUGGUUCUGGCAUCGAUGAAGAACGCAGCGAAAUGCGAUAAGUAAUGUGAAUUGCAGAAUUCAGUGAAUCAUCGAAUCUUUGAACGCACAUUGCGCCCGCCAGCAUUCUGGCGGGCAUGCCUGUUCGAGCGUCAUUUCAACCCUCGAGCCCCCCCGGGGGCCUCGGUGUUGGGGGACGGCACACCAGCCGCCCCCGAAAUGCAGUGGCGACCCCGCCGCAGCCUCCCCUGCGUAGUAGCACACACCUCGCACCGGAGCGCGGAGGCGGUCACGCCGUAAAACGCCCAACUUUCUUAGAGUUGACCUCGGAUCAGGUAGGAAUACCCGC
rnacentral:rRNA from 1 species